CCCGCACAAGCAGCGGAGCGUGUGGUUUAAUUCGAUGUUACACGAAGAACCUUACCAGGGUUUUGACAUGCAAGUGGUAGGAAGCCCGAAAGGUGACCGACCCUUCGGGGAGCUUGCACAGGUGCUGCAUGGCUGUCGUCAGCUCGUGUCGUGAGAUGUUCGGUUAAGUCCGCUAACGAGCGCAACCCUCGCUGUGUGUUAUAUGUGUCACACGGGACUGCCGGUCUUAAGCCGGAGGAAGGUGGGGAUGAUGUCAAGUCAGCAUGGCCUUUAUAUCCUGGGCUACACACACGCUACAAUGGCCAACACAAUAGGUUGCUAAGCCGCGAGGUGGCGCCAAUCCAUAAAGUUGGUCUCAGUUCAGAUUGUAGGCUGCAACCCGCCUGCAUGAAGAUGGAGUUGCUAGUAACCGCAGGUCAGCUAUACUGCGGUGAAUACGUUCCCGGGGCUU
rnacentral:rRNA from 1 species